rnacentral:lncRNA from 1 species
AAACACGAAUGCGCCCCAACUGCUCGGAGGCUUCUGGGGAGGCGGCCUGGGGGAGGGAGCGGGUAGCUGGGAUCUCCGAAGCGGGACGUCUCCUAGGAGGGGUGCAUCCUGGGGCAGCACCCCGCAGCAUUGCGGGUGGAAAAUGAGCUUAUAUAUGAAGAAGUCAGCGAGUGGACAAAGCCAGGCGCAAUGGAUAGCAAAGAUGUGGAAGUCUCCUCGAUUCAAGUUACAAGAAAACCGCAGCAUGGAGUCUGCUCUCAGCUGUUGGGGAAUUACCGAUGCCUUUGACUAAGUCAAGACUGACUUUUCCAGAAUAUCACCCAAGAGAUAGAGCCGUCCCUGUCCAAGUUUGUGCGCUAGCCCUUCAUGGAGGUCAGAGAGGAAGAAACAAAGGCAGCUGUGGCCUCGGCGGUCACAGUGUCAGAACGCACAAGCCCCAUAAAGAGGUUUCACGCAGGCCACCCAUCCCUUUUCAUUCUCCAGCAGAACAGGACAGAGAGCGUUCUGUUCUGCGGAAGGUCUUCCACUCUACAAGGCAAUCCCUCCAGCUGCUUUGCUGUAUUGUGCUGUCUCCUGUCACACUAUGAAUGCAGUGACCUCAGCCAGCAACAGGGAGAACCCCCCUGCCUCCCGAACAAAGGACCUCACGUGAAAUCCUGAGCUCAGAGCUUACAGAUAUGUGUGCGCUUUCACUUUACAUCGGCCGUGACUUCCAAACAACUUCAGGAAACUUUAGGAUCUCUGAGGUAUACUGGAGAUGACAGCAGCGUAGAAUGUUCAUUUGGAUUUAGAACAGAAAUGCUUAUUUUAUAUUUGGCUGCUCCCAAACUGUCCCCAGACUUCCUCUCCAGUGGUUACCCUCCACUGCCCUGGAUGUCCCACGUUUACACUCCACACUCACACCUCCACCUUAACAAAGUCCUCCACUGGGUCAAACCAUACAUCGCUUCGUCUCUGUAGUGAUGACUUCCUGUCCUCUGCUCUGUGGAUAAAGACCCCAGAUAAAGAUGCCUGUGUUGCUCAACUCUUGUAAAUACUCUUGAGACAUUUUGAAAGCAGAAGGAAAGGAGACAGACGGGGAAAAUAAAAGGGAUGGUCUGCUUGUGCGGAAACGUUUUGAGAAUGCCCUUCCCUAAGAGAGAACAGUAAAAGUGAGCAAUACUUCCUGAGCUGUGGGUUCAUAUGGCUGGACUGUGCUGUUUCUCACGGGAGAAGUUCUCGUCUCCCCUGCGUGUACAUCCCUGUUUGCCAGCCUGGCCUUCGGUGUGGUGAUAUCAUGGUGCACUCCCAGGAGGGAAGUGCUUGGUCAAGACUUCUGCUUGGGUUCGACUAUCAGUUCUGGUUUCCUUUAAGGCACAGGAUCUUCCCUUUAAGGCACAAACACCCCCUUGACACAAAGUAAGGGACAAGGGAACUUUAAACCAUUUGGAAACCCAAGCACAAUAGGCUGUAGGUUGUAAAAAGAAAUUACAAAGGUAAUUUUAUCCAGAAGAGGGAGCAGUUUAACUUCUGCAGGGUAAGAUUCAGAUUCACUUUUGUAACUGAACAGGGAAUUUUCUAAAUAUUUUGAAAAUGCCGAAACAUUUCCUGUUGGCAUUUCACAGAAACGUUCAAAGUUCCCUAAUGAUAGUUUCCGCUGUGCUCACUCCGGAGGCUGCUAAGCAACCUCAGUAAUUAGCUCGAUUGAGGAAACGAAACUGUGGGGGACUCAGUUUCCAUGAUAGGGAAACCAGGCAAGAAAUAUUGUCUCCUCAAGUUGCGACGAGACAGUAGUUCUUGCCUGGUUUCUCUAUCAUGGAGUCUUGGUUGGACUCUGCUAUGCGUCUCUUGAUGAAAUGUGAUACUAGCAAUUGAACAAUUAAGAAAAUGGAUGGCGGGGGGUGGAGCGGUUUGUCACUACUGGAGUUGCAGAGGCUCAGUGGGGGAACCUGAGAAACACUGCGUCCCCCAGGUCAUCACCGCGUCAGCACUGAUGAGUCAUGUUGAUGGCAUGGACCCUGAAUAUGACACAAUGAGAUGUCACUUUAC